UGCCUGUAGUGUUUAGCUGAUGAAAGAAUCGAGGAGGGAUUGUUUAAUUUUCGGGUGUUUUGAAGAAUUAAUGGUCACUUUUUCCAACGUUUAGGUGAGCAGAGAGAAUCAAUUGUUUAUUUUCUUAUUAAUUUUUUAUCUUUCUUGGCAUCUCAAUGAAAGAUGCAUCGGUUCUAUCGUAGAAAAUUUCCAACUGAAGGAAGAGAAAACAGAGUCCUGUAGUCUGGAGAAGUUUAAAAGAAAAAAUACUUAAAAAUCAAAAUGAUGUCAGCAUGUGCAGUGCAGCCCCAGGCCAGCUGGGACAGCUGUGAGAUGAGAAUUAGAGCAGUGCGGGCCAAAGGUAAACAUUGCACAGGCAGACGGAGAGCAUCUCCCUGUGCUGAUGCCGGAGCUGCCUGUCCUAUGGCUUUCUUGCUCCUGCAAGUCCUCUGUCUCAAAGAAAUGAGGCCGUGUGGUCUCAGUCUCAGUUCAGAGGAACUGACUAAGGGAACUCAGGGAAGGGAGGGACGGCGGGGGUGGGGGGGUGC